rnacentral:misc_RNA from 1 species
GGGCGUUUGUAUACUCAAAUGUUCAUCCCCUACAAGUUUGGAAAAAAGAUUUUGUCGUAAAUGCAGUAAUCCAUGCUUUUCUGUACUUUCCCUAACGUUGUUUAGAAAGUAACAAGCAUCAAAUUCAUCAGAGAUUUGACCGAAAAGCGCUUCAGCAAUGGUUGUCUUUCCUAUGCCGCCUAUUCCCCAAAUUCCAAUAAAACGAACAUCUGCCAUCUCAAUACAUAGGAAUGAUAGAAUUUCGUUGAGGUGAGCAUCAAUCCCAACUAAAUCAUCACAAGCACUAAAGGAGACGGGAUAUAGUUUCUUCAUGAUAUGUUUGACAACUUUGUCAAUUAAUUCCGAUUCAUGCCUGUAGAUGCUGGAAUCCCAUCCAGACAGAUUGGCUAAUUCC